GUCUAAGGCUAUACCACCCUGAACGCGCCCGAUCUUGUCUGAUCUCGGAAGCUAAGCAGGGUCGGGCCUGGUUAGUACUUCGAUGGGAGACCGCCUGGAAAUACCGGGUGCUGUAGGCU
rnacentral:rRNA from 1 species